GGCGAAGGGGCAGCAAUGUCACUGUCGUACGGGUGCGUAACGCGUAUGCAACCUACCUAUCACUGGGGGAUAGCCCGGGGAAACCCGGAUUAAUACCGCAUAAAACAGGGGCACCGCAUGGUGAUAUUUGUUAAAGAUUUAUUGGUGAUAGAUGGGCAUGCGUUCGAUUAGCUAGUUGGCGGGGUAACGGCCCACCAAGGCGACGAUCGAUAGGGGAGCUGAGAGGUUGGUCCCCCACACGGGCACUGAGAUACGGGCCCGACUCCUACGGGAGGCAGCAGUAGGGAAUAUUGGGCAAUGGAUGCAAGUCUGACCCAGCCAUGCCGCGUGCCGGAUGAAGGCCCUCAGGGUUGUAAACGGCUUUUAUUCGGGAAGAAGAGCAGGGAUGCGUCCUUGUGUGACGGUACCGAAUGAAUAAGCACCGGCUAACUCCGCGCCAGCAGCCGCGGUAAUACGGAGGGUGCGAGCGUUGUCCGGAUUUAUUGGGUUUAAAGGGUGCGUAGGUGGCCUAGUAAGUCAGUGGUGAAAUACGGUUGCUCAACAAUCGAGGUGCCAUUGAUACUGCAAGGCUUGAAAUAAUUGGAGGCUGCCGGAAUGGAUGGUGUAGCGGUGAAAUGCAUAGAUAUCAUCCAGAACACCGAUUGCGAAGGCAGGUGGCUACGAUUUGUUUGACACUGAGGCACGAAAGCAUGGGGAGCAAACAGG
rnacentral:rRNA from 1 species